UAAAAUAAUAGAAUUUUUUAAUAAAUUUUCUUUUCCCAAACAACUUCUUUUGAUCUUCACCACGCAGGGGCCACAGUGGAGAGGAAAGUUCUCUCCAGGUGCCCUAAAAAGUGUCCAGGGUAGACUUAGGAGAAAAGUUUUCCUCCAGUGUCAGGAGGUUGAGGGGACUAGGGUAAGCAGGGUUCAGGGUCAGCCUGGCCCUGACUGAGGCAUCCCCCAAAGGGUCCUGGGUGGGGCUCCCUGGGGGAGCUUCCAAAGGCUCUGCUGGUGGAAGAUGCUCUGCAGACAAAAGCCCCUCUGGUGUCCGCUGUGGGCCCUUAGGAGUGCGGGUCAGCGGCUGCCUGGGGGGCCCCACCCCAGCCUUGGGAUGGGGAAGAGUUAAUGGCCAGAAUUGGGGAGGGCAGGGCUGAGCCACCACACACGCCCUCUUGGGGCUGCCAUAAGUCAGGACAGCCCAGGGGGCAGGCAAGGAGAGGCGGCCUGGUCCCCGGGGAGGAGAGGAGCUGGGAGGGGAAAGGGAGGCAGCAAGGCCGGGUGGUUGGAGGAGCUGUUGCCGCGGGCGCGGCUGCCCGGCCGCGUGGGUGCCGCGGGCGGACACGCCUGGAAAUCGGCCUCGCGGAGCGCGCGCAGGUCUCGGCCCUGGCGCUCCGGGGGGGUGGCGCAGGUCACGUCGGAGCUGG
rnacentral:antisense_RNA from 1 species